AAUGAAUCACUUUGAAUGCCUUGCUGAUAAAAUGUACUACAUAAUGUUUCCUUGCCUUAUUAUUGGUCUAAUACAUUAUUUGCUGUCAUGAAUAAUUAUAGUUUUAAUCACAAAUUAUUACAUUUCCGGGUUGUCUGGACUGCAUUACUGAUGGACCAAUCAUUGAUGAGUUUGCCUUAGUGGGCGUGUCUUCAGCGGUAACCACAGUGACAGACGUGCGUCACUCGAGCGUUAAAAACUUGUUCUUUCAACUUGAAAGCGGAAACUUUUUCAGUCUCUAAUAUUCCUGUGAAUAAAAGCACGUUUACCUGCGCUUUGGACAGAAAUAACAACAUUUAUACUUCUGCUAAACAAACGAUGGACAAACUAUUCCAAACACCUUCAAUGAGGACUGUCAUUGUUCUCAAUUUCCUAAGGAAUGCGAGUCAGAUGCGUCACCAUCCGUACCUUUACGCCCAGGC
rnacentral:lncRNA from 1 species